UGGGGUGUAAACGAAGUCCUUGGAAAUGUUGCAAGUCACAUGAAGAAUGACUAUAGAGAUUGGACUGGGUUUCCAUUUCCUAAGUGCCCAAUCCAGAGUCUUGAAUCCGUCUUGUAAAUCAUUCCCAAGAAUCACAUAGACCUUCUCUACAUGAGAAUCCAUUCUUGAGCUCUGAACACUCAGCUGUUGCCUUAAUUUCAAGAUUAAGGC
rnacentral:misc_RNA from 1 species